AGUGAACGCUGGCGGUAGGCCUAACACAUGCAAGUCGAACGGCAGCACAGUAAGAGCUUGCUCUUACGGGUGGCGAGUGGCGGACGGGUGAGGAAUACAUCGGAAUCUACUUUUUCGUGGGGGAUAACGUAGGGAAACUUACGCUAAUACCGCAUACGACCUACGGGUGAAAGCAGGAGAUCUUCGGACCUUGCGCGAUUGAAUGAGCCGAUGUCGGAUUAGCUAGUUGGCGGGGUAAAGGCCCACCAAGGCGACGAUCCGUAGCUGGUCUGAGAGGACGAUCAGCCACACUGGAACUGAGACACGGUCCAGACUCCUACGGGAGGCAGCAGUGGGGAAUAUUGGACAAUGGGCGCAAGCCUGAUCCAGCCAUACCGCGUGGGUGAAGAAGGCCUUCGGGUUGUAAAGCCCUUUUGUUGGGAAAGAAAAGCAGCAGGUUAAUACCCCGCUGUUCUGACGGUACCCAAAGAAUAAGCACCGGCUAACUUCGU
rnacentral:rRNA from 1 species